rnacentral:rRNA from 1 species
UGGGGAAUAUUGGACAAUGGGCGCAAGCCUGAUCCAGCAAUGCCGCGUGUGUGAAGAAGGCCUUCGGGUUGUAAAGCACUUUUGUUCGGGAAGAAAUCCGUAUGGUUAAUACCCGUGCGGGAUGACGGUACCGAAAGAAUAAGCACCGGCUAACUUCGUGCCAGCAGCCGCGGUAAUACGAAGGGUGCAAGCGUUAAUCGGAAUUACUGGGCGUAAAGCGUGCGUAGGCGGUUUGUUAAGUCAGAUGUGAAAGCCCCGGGCUCAACCUGGGAACUGCAUUUGAUACUGGCAGGCUAGAGUACGGUAGAGGGUGGUGGAAUUCCCGGUGUAGCGGUGAAAUGCGUAGAGAUCGGGAGGAACAUCCGUGGCGAAGGCGGCCACCUGGACCAGUACUGACGCUGAGGCACGAAAGCGUGGGGAGCAAACAGGAUUAGAUACCCUGGUAG